rnacentral:rRNA from 1 species
AUUGAACGCUGGCGGCAGGCCUAACACAUGCAAGUCGAGCGGCAGCGGAAAGUAGCUUGCUACUUUGCCGGCGCGCGGCGGACGUGUGUGUCAUGUCUGGGAAACUGCCUGAUGGAGGGGGAUACAUACUGGAAACGGUAGCUAUAACCGCAUAACGUCUCAAGCACAAAGAGGGGGACCUUCAGGCCCCUUGCCAUCAGUUGUGCCUGGAUGGGAUUAGCUUGUAGGUGGGGUAACGGCUCACCUAGGCGACGAUCACUAGCUGGACUGAGAGGAGGACGAGCCAAACUGGAACUGGGAAAGGGUCCAGACUCCUACGGGAGGAAGCAGUGGGGAAUAUUGGACAAUGGGCGAAAGCUUGACGCAGCAAGGCCGCGUGUAUGAGGAGGGCCUUCGGGUUGUAAAGUACUUUGGGCGGGGAGGAAGGUGUUGAGGGUAAAAACCUCAGCAAGUGACGGUACCCACAGAGGAAGCGCCGGCUAACUACGUG